rnacentral:rRNA from 1 species
UCUUAGUGGCGGACGGGUGAGUAACGCGUGGGUAACCUGCCCCAUACCGGGGGAUACCACCUGGAAACAGGUGCUAAUACCGCAUAAGCGCACGGGAGCGCAUGCUCCUGUGUGAAAAACUCCGGUGGUAUGGGAUGGACCCGCGUCUGAUUAGCCAGUUGGCAGGGUAACGGCCUACCAAAGCGACGAUCAGUAGCCGGCCUGAGAGGGUGGACGGCCACAUUGGGACUGAGACACGGCCCAAACUCCUACGGGAGGCAGCAG